AUUCUCUUUGUGUUGUUAUGUAGUUACCACAGUCGAUUCCAGAAUCACUCAUUUCUUUAGUGAAAGCUGCUGAUGAUCAUCAGUUGAGUGAAGAAGAUGAAGCUAGUUCUCCAGAUGUUGUUAAUGGAGAUCAUCUUUUUUUCUGUUUAACUGAUGUCAAAUUGCCCCCAGAACAGGCAGAAGGAGUGUGCUCUCAAGCACUACAAGAAAAAAUUUUUCACCUGAUGGAAACAAAGCGCCAACUAGGAUUUUCAUCAUAUGAUGUAAUAGUUAAAGGAAAGAGCUUCAGAAAUCCAAGUAUUUAUGAAAAACUAAUACAGAUGUGUGACAUU